UUGAAAGGGAAACGAUUGAAGUCAGUCGUACCGACGAGAAAUCAGCUCUUUGAGUGUGGACUUGUGGGCGUGCGUGAGCUUUUACGGUCUCGCUGUUUGCAAUGUUUGUUCUUUUUGGGUGUACUUUUUCGUAUGGUAGGCCAACAUCAGUUUCGAAUACCAUAAAAUGACCGGCGGAAUGUAGCUUCGAUCUCGUAUUGAAGUGUUAUAGCCUCUGGUAGAUGUGGUGUUUGGGACUGAGGAUUGCAACGAAUAUCCUUUGGGCUAUCCGUCUGAUCUCUGAAAGUUGCUUAGGUGCCGAAAGCGUGCUUACGGUUAUUUAAGUUGACGGUCAAAAGGUUAGAACGUGAUUACAUUCGUUAAGGAUGUUGACGUA
rnacentral:rRNA from 1 species